rnacentral:rRNA from 1 species
GAUGAACGCUGGCGGCGUGCCUAAUACAUGCAAGUCGAGCGAACGGACGAGAAGCUUGCUUCUCUGAUGUUAGCGGCGGACGGGUGAGUAACACGUGGAUAACCUACCUAUAAGACUGGGAUAACUUCGGGAAACCGUAGCUAAUAACGGAUAAUAUUUUGAACCGCAUGGUUCAAAAGUGAAAGACGGUCUUGCUGUCACUUAUAGAUGGAUCCGCGCUGCAUUAGCUAGUUGGUAAGGUAACGGCUUACCAAGGCAACGAUGCAUAGCCGACCUGAGAGGGUGAUCGGCCACACUGGAACUGAGACACGGUCCAGACUCCUACGGGAGGCAGCAGUAGGGAAUCUUCCGCAAUGGGCGAAAGCCUGACGGAGCAACGCCGCGUGAGUGAUGAAGGUCUUCGGAUCGUAAAACUCUGUUAUUAGGGAAGAACAUAUGUGUAAGUAACUGUGCACAUCUUGACGGUACCUAAUCAGAAAGCCACGGCUAACUACGUG